AUCUUUGGAGCAAAGAAUGUGCCUGUUAAGGACGAGAACUUUAUAUUAAAUGGAUUUUUGGAACAGGGAGUUGGACUAGGAGCUUGCUCCAUCCACUCCACGCAUCAACCCGGUAUUGCAGUGCUUCCGGGCAUCUCCCCUG
rnacentral:snRNA from 1 species